UACGUAGGGUGCAAGCGUUAAUCGGAAUUACUGGGCGUAAAGCGUGCGCAGGCGGUUUUGUAAGUCUGUCGUGAAAGCCCCGGGCUUAACCUGGGAAUUGCGAUGGAGACUGCAAGGCUUGAAUCUGGCAGAGGGGGGUAGAAUUCCACGUGUAGUAGUGAAAUGCGUAGAGAUGUGGAGGAACACCGAUGGCGAAGGCAGCCCCCUGGGUCAAGAUUGACGCUCAUGCACGAAAGCGUGGGGAGCAAACAGG
rnacentral:rRNA from 1 species